CGAAUUGGCAAGGAGCAUUGCAAAGUUAAUUUGCAAGAGUUGUUAAACCCAGACAAAAAACAAGAUUUUAUUAAGAGAACAACAUCAAAUUCAAAUUCAUUGGAGAUGGAUAAAAGUUGGAUCCAUCUUAACAGAGCAACGGUGGAAUAUGAGCAAAAAGCUAGGGAGUUUGUUAAGACAGCCAUGACGAAUCUUGGAUUUCCAACCAAGAUUCUUUGUCCAUGCAACAAAUGUCACAAUCUAAGACAUCAACUUUCAGACGAAGUUGUCGAACACUUAGUUUUUUGGGGCAUGGACCGAUCUUACAAAACAUGGUUUCAU